UAGCCCCAAUUACCGAUUUUACCCUAGGCGGUUCCUUGCGCGUUACCGACUUCAGGUCCCCCCGGCUUUCAUGGCUUGACGGGCGGUGUGUACAAGGUCCGGGAACGUAUUCACCGUAUCAUUGCUGAUAUACGAUUACUAGCGAUUCCAGCUUCAUGAGGGCGAGUUGCAGCCCUCAAUUCGAACUGAGAUAGGAUUUUUGAGAUUAGCAUCCUGUUACCAGGUAACAGCCCUUUGUUCCUACCAUUGUAACACGUGUGUAACCCUGGGCAUAAAGGCCAUGAUGACUUGACAUCAUCACCUCGUUCGUCAGGUCUUACGACGGCAGUUUCUUUAAAGUCCCCAACUUGACAUGUUCGGCCAACUAAAAAUAGGGGUUCAGCCUCAACAACACACCAAGACCAACACUAAACACAACAACUGGACUACAACAUCACCAACCUUUACAGUACUGUUAUAUACCCAACUG
rnacentral:rRNA from 1 species